rnacentral:rRNA from 1 species
UACGAGGGGGGCAAGCGUUGUCCGGAAUUAUUGGGCGUAAAGGGCUCGUAGGCGGUUUGUCGCGUCGGGAGUGAAAACUCAGGGCUUAACCCUGAGCCUGCUUCCGAUACGGGCAGACUAGAGGUAUGCAGGGGAGAACGGAAUUCCUGGUGUAGCGGUGAAAUGCGUAGAUAUCUGGAGGAACACCGGUGGCGAAGGCGGCAUCCUGGACCGGCAUUGACGCUGAGGCGCGAAAGCCAGGGGAGCAAACGGG